AAGUCGUAACAAGGUUUCCGUAGGUGAACCUGCGGAAGGAUCAUUAUUGAAAACAAGGGUGUCCAAUUUAACUUGGAACCCAAACUUCUCAAUUCUAACUUUGUGCAUCUGUAUUAAUGGCGAGCAGCUUCGGUUGUGAGCCUUCACUUACAAAACACUAGUCUAUGAAUGUAAAAUUUUUAUAACAAAUAAAAACUUUCAACAACGGAUCUCUUGGCUCUC
rnacentral:misc_RNA from 1 species